rnacentral:rRNA from 1 species
AGCAGCCGCGGUAAUUCCAGCUCCAAUAGCGUAUAUUAAAGUUGUUGCAGUUAAAAGCUCGUAGUUGAACUUCGGGAUCAAUGGAUUGGUCAUGCCGAUGGUGUGUACUGGUCAUAUUGGUUCUCACCUUCUAAGGAACCAUAAUGUCAUUUAUUUGAUGUUGUGGGGAAUUAGGACUGUUACCUUGAAAAAUUAGAGUGUUUAAAGCAGGCUAACGCUUGAAUACAUUAGCAUGGAAUAAUGAAAUAGGACAUCGCAUUCUAUUUUGUUGGUUUCUAGGAUCGAUGUAAUGAUUAAUAGGGAUAGUUGGGGGCAUUAGUAUUCAAUUGUCAGAGGUGAAAUUCUUGGAUUUAUUGAAGACUAACUACUGCGAAAGCAUUUGCCAAGGAUGUUUUCAUUAAUCAAGAACGAAAGUUAGGGGAUCGAAGACGAUCAGAUACCGUCGUAGUCUUAACCAUAAACUAUGCCGACUAGGGAUCGGAUGAUGUUGAUUUUU